UGAGGAAUAUUGGUCAAUGGGCGAGAGCCUGAACCAGCCAAGUAGCGUGCAGGAUGACGGCCCUAUGGGUUGUAAACUGCUUUUGUAUGGGGAUAAAGUCAGUCACGUGUGAUUGUUUGCAGGUACCAUACGAAUAAGGACCGGCUAAUUCCGUGCCAGCAGCCGCGGUAAUACGGAAGGUCCGGGCGUUAUCCGGAUUUAUUGGGCUUAAAGGGAGCGUAGGCUGGAGAUUAAGUGUGUUGUGAAAUGUAGACGCUCAACGUCUGACUUGCAGCGCAUACUGGUUUCCUUGAGUACGCACAACGUUGGCGGAAUUCGUCGUGUAGCGGUGAAAUGCUUAGAUAUGACGAAGAACUCCGAUUGCGAAGGCAGCUGACGGGAGCGCAACUGACGCUGAAGCUCGAAGGUGCGGGUAUCGAACAGGAUUAGAUACCCUGGUAGUCCGCACAGUAACGAUGGAUGCCCGCUGUUGGUACCUGGUAUCAGCGGCUAAGCGAAAGCAUUAAGCAUCCCACCUGGGGAGUACGCCGGCNCGGU
rnacentral:rRNA from 1 species